AUGGGGUGGGGCGUGGUGGUCUACGAGGGCACGGUGGUGGGGGCGUCGCUGGUGGGGCUGGGGUGGGCGGGGCUGUGGUUCCUCAACCGGCGGCUGUACAAGGAGUACGAGGAGCGGCGGGCGCUGGUGCAGAUCCUCUUCGGCCUCGUCUUCGCCUUCUCCUGCAACCUCUUCCAGCUCGUCCUCUUCGAGAUCCUCCCCGUCCUCUCCAAGCACGCGCGCUUCCUCAACUGGCACCUCGACCUCUUCUGCCUCAUCCUCCUCCUCGUCUUCGUCCUCCCCUAUUACCACUGCUACCUGCUGCUCCGCAACUCAGGUGUGAGGAGGCAGCGGGCCUGCCUCGCCGCGGCCCUCUUCCUGACCAUCUUCCUCUACGGGUUCUGGCGCAUGGGGAUUCACUUCCCCAUGCCUUCUCCGGAGAAAGGUUUCUUUACGAUGCCGCAGUUGGUUAGUAGGAUUGGCGUGAUUGGAGUGACUGUCAUGGCUGUCCUUUCUGGUUUUGGUGCGGUCAAUCUGCCAUACAGCUACCUGUCUCUCUUUAUCAGGGAAAUUGACGAAAUGGACAUCAAAGCUUUGGAACGGCAGCUGAUGCAAUCCAUGGAGUCAUCUAUUGCUAAGAAAAAGAAAAUUAUUCUGUCCAAAAUGGAGAUGGAGAGGAUCCAAGGAUCAGAGGAGAAGCUUAAAGCCAGAUCAUUUCUGAAGCGUAUAGUUGGAACAGUGGUUCGAUCUGUGCAAGAAGAUCAAACUGAGCAGGAUAUCAAAAACUUGGAAGCAGAGGUCCAGGGAUUGGAAGAGCUUUCGAAACAGCUAUUCCUUGAGAUAUAUGAACUACGUCAAGCUAAGAUAGCUGCUGCUUAUUCCCGAACCUGGAGAGGACAUUUUCAGAAUCUGCUAGGAUAUGCCUUGUCAGUGUAUUGUGUUUAUAAGAUGCUCAAGGCCUUGCAGAGUGUAGUCUUUAAAGCGGCUGGCUCUGUUGAUCCGGUAACCAUGACGAUUACCAUUUUCUUGAGGCAUUUUGAUAUUGGUAUCGAUGUCACGCUAUUAUCACAGUACAUAUCUUUGUUGUUCAUCGGGAUGUUGGUUGGCAUAUCUAUUCGAGGUUUCUUGGCAAAUGUUAUGAAGUUCUUCUUUGCUUUUUCUAGAGUUGGGACCGGCUCAACAACAAAUGUCGUCCUUUUCUUAUCUGAGAUCAUGGGCAUGUAUUUCAUAUCUUCUAUUCUUCUGAUAAGGAAAAGCCUGGCAAAUGAGUACAGGGUGAUCAUCACAGAUGUUUUGGGCGGUGACAUUCAGUUUGACUUCUACCACCGCUGGUUUGAUGCCAUAUUCGUGGCGAGCGCGUUCUUGUCCUUGCUUUUGAUUUCAGCCCAGUACACCUCCCGGCAAGCAGACAAGCAUCCAAUUGAUUGA
rnacentral:rRNA from 1 species